AGUCUUCAUCUCCCAAUGCCUUUGGUACCUUAUUGGAUGAACUACCUGUUGCCUGUGCUCGAGUGGCUAUGCCUUGUUAAACAGGUAUCCAUCAAGAAGCUUCUCAGCGUGAUCAUCAAUGUUGAAGAACAGUCGAUCCGUUUCAUGACUGAAGGUAUGGCAUUCAAUUACUACAUGCUAAAAAUCUUGACCAUAAUAAAUGUCCAUUUUCUUGUCUUUUAUCAUCUUAUGUCUUUAUGGUCCUGUUAUGAGAUUUUUCUUGAUUCUUACCUUGAUUUUUUGUAUAAAAUCCAUCCUCUUUUCUAUUCAUUUAUGUCUUAGCUACAGAACUAGCAUAUUCUUUCCACUAAUGUAUAUGUAAUGCAUUAUUAUUAAUAUUAUUUUUAAUUUCUUACGUUGUGUUGGUACAAGACUGUUUGUUAGAACAAGUCCUCUCAUUUGUAUUCUAGUGAGUUUCAUUUGACAAGAACAAUGCUAGACUCAGUCUGAGUUUAGCCAAACACUCAAAUAUAGUAGUUUCUGAACUCAUGAAUCGCUCAAGUGAGCUGAAACAGAGUAGGACUCACCUUAGAUUUUUGGUCCUUUUCUUGCAACGGGCCCAACUAAUAUGGUAAUGCAGCUUGGAAGAGGGUAGGGUAUGUAGUAUGAAAGGUAACCAGACCUACCUGUUCAACAUUUAGACUGAGUAAUCUAAUGGCUUAGGAAGUCUGGAGUAUUGAUUUGUGUCUAACUUCCAAUAUGUGUACCAACAGGAUAGCUUGUUGUGGAGGAUGAUUACUCUUCAUCAUGUCUGUUUGUUUACCUGUGUGAACAUAUAUACAUAGAUUACAACCAAAAGCAAAGAAGUAGACUGUAAGAGUGUGACAACUGUAUUAAAUUUUAUGGAGAAAUAAUGGGUACGUUCAUCCUCUAGUCCAUUGAAAUCUAGAGAAGCACCCAGUAAAUAUGGAAGAAUCAUUCUCUAAAUACAACAACUUCCACCCAUUCCUGCUAAAACUGUGAACUCUUCGUUGAAUCAUUCUCAAUUCUACAACAGAAACUCAAUGAUGUUGUUUCUAUCUUUCUCAAUGUACUGAGGAUGAAAGGGAAGACUGAGAGAGUAAUGAGUGCCUUCAUUUCAGAAGGAACAUUUCCUCCACAGCUGUUUGGUUGGGACUGACAUCUUUCUUCUUUGAGGACAUAGGUUGGAGCAUCCUUGUUGGACUAGUUCUUGUGGAAUGGUCUUGUUUCUAUUUCCAUAUCAAACAUUGAUAUGUUUCCAUUGUAAAUGCAUGGAAGUAAUGUUCGUGCAACUCCGGUCUCCAUUCUCUCUUUCACUCAUUUGAUAACUAACCGUAAUGUGAUUGUUACAUUAGAGUGAGAGAGUACGGGUUGUGUGUAUCUGAAGUGGGAGAGUAUGGGGGAUGUAUCCCAGCUAAACCGAUGAACACUAUCUUGACUCACUUUCAACAAUACAACCCAAACCCAGUUGUGUCGGCUCUAUCCAUUUUAAUGCAGACACAGCUGAUUCAGAAGUCUGAGAGGAGUAAUGACUCCCUUUUAUUGACAAAGAACAUUCCUUCCACAACUGUUUGGUUGGAACAGAUAUCUUUCGUCUAUGAGGACAUAUGUUGGAGCUAUUCUUGGCGGUUCUGUGAAAGGCACAACUGCAGUUCUUGUGGUACGGUCUUCGUUCUAUUUCAGUAUCGAAUACUGAUAUGCUUCCAUUAUAGACACAUUGAAGUAGGGCUCCAGCAACUCCAGUCUCCAUUUCUUAGUCACUGCAAUGUGGUUGUGUAUUCUACUGAGUGAGUGAAAGUGUGUGUCUGUAGAUUAGUUUGUGUGGGUAACUGAUAUUCCUUCGAAGCUGUGAAGUGUUUAAAUAGGAAGGCGCGAAAGCUCUGGUGACAGAAUUGAUAUCACCAAGGAAUUUGUGACCGUUGAGUACUAAGCUCUGCAGUUAGAGAAGUCUCUUGUCUCAACUAUCGAGUUCUUUUGGCGUUUUUAUGAAUUUAAUUGUGGUUUAGUCCCAUUACUUCCAACAGUAACCUAAAGCAAGAUGUUGAAAUGCAACUUAGGAAUAAGUGCAGGAGCGAGGAAGAAAUUGGAACCUUACUUGGGAAAUAUGGAAGGAGUGUGUUACUAGAAAAGUUCAUUUUAGGGUCUGAUGAUCACGAAGUUUGCCUCUUAAUCAACGUUUUCUGAUUAUUUUAUAACUCUAAUAGUAUAUUAGUAUUGACCCGUCACUUUGUACUUGCUGUACUAUGUGGGAAUCUAUCUGAUGCACCACAGUAUUACCUAAAGUGAUCCUUGACUACGUAAGUGUAAUUGUUGCUUAUGUCACUUGAUUGUCAUUGAUGGAUAAGGAUGUGCAAUCAUAAAGAGUAAUUUUAUAGCAUAGUACAUUCUUAUCAUAUACUACAAAAUUUGUAGCUGGAAGAACACCAUCAUUGUCAUAAAUGUAGUCAAAACAUCUCUAAAUGCUGGCCAUUGAUCUGAUAAACUUUCUGAAAGAUCUAUGUUCUGGUUCUUUGUUUAUAUGAUGCUUGGCGAUUUUAGAAAGUGUUACUAUUUCAAUAUGUUGCAGCCAUUGUCAUACUAAAUCAUUUAACAUUGUAUACAUCAAUUCAUGAUGUUGUAGUCGUACUAGUUCUGUACAGGCAUGAAAGGAGUCUUUGAUAUCCCAGUCCUUUUGAUAUUUUUUAAUACCUCAAAAUUAUAAAUGUUUUAUACACUGAGAUAAAUGAUUGUUGUUGACAGUUAUAGAUGUUAAAUGGCCGUUGUAACUCUUUUCAAAUGUAUAAUAUAAUAAGCGAAUAUUAUAUUCUCUUUUCAAAUGUAUAAUAUAAUAAGUCGAACAUUAUAUUGAAUUUAAUAGUUGAUGUGUGGCCUUCGGAAUAGUUGAAUAUUCAUAAUAGUAUGUUUUAUGCUGAAUUGUUUAAUGAGUAUAAUUCUAGAUAUGAUAAAAAAAAACUUUAACACAAAUUCUGUUUAGUUAUUGCAGAUUGCAGCCAGAAAAUUCAUCAAAACCGGGAACAACCCUGUUGAUGUACGGUAGCACAAAGAUAUAUUUUUUUUAUGCUCUAGCAAUUAUGCCGAAACACCUCUGCAUAGUGAAAAUAGAUAUUCAGUUAAGCUACUGCAAAAAAUGCAGUGAAGUAUUAAUGGAGUUGAACUGUGGAUGUUUAAACCAUGCUGUUUACUGUUCUCUCCAUUUGCUGUCUAGGCUACCAAAGUAGAAUUGCGGGAUAUGCCGAGUUGUCUUAAUCUGUUGUCAGAAAUGGGGAGAUCUUUUACUUUAAAGCUGCACCAAUGUAACGUGAGAACAUACUGUUUACUCUAGUCCAUUCGAUGACUCAAGGUGAGGCCAGCUUUAUAUUUCUCCCACCUGUGAUUACCUGAACAACUUACAUACUAGUUGCACUUUGAACUGCUCUAGGCCUCCGGAACCAUUUUCAUACCAGUGAUCUUUAAAAUCAUUUUUGGGAUAAAAACCAGACUUGUGAUUCUUAAGUUUACACAACUUUUGUGGAAAAUAUAUUUUCAGCAACAAAAACAUACGAUUGCAUAAGAAGAAAAAAGAAAGAAUCAUAAACAGCACAUACUUGUUCCUGAAUACUUUGUUUCGCUCCUAAAGUUGGAUGCACUAAUUUCCAUGCACAUGGGAAUAGAGUGUGAAUUUAGUUCAAAGGCGUUAACAUGUAACUAUGUUCUUUAUCAAAUAGGAGUAAAUCCACCAGCUGCAGUUAUACUGGUCAAGAGUUGUUUUGAAAACAAAAACCCUUUUGUUGAAUUUUCACAUCUUCAAUAGGUGAUUGAUGAUACUUGGAAUGGUCACCUUGUUUGAGGUGGCUCCUUGGUGAAAGUGAUAGUGGGGUAGGUGUUCAAAAGGGGGAGGAGGGCUGUCCCAAAGUGGUCGGAAGAAAUAAGUAAUCUUCUGGGCAUUAUGGAAAGUUCCAGCCACACACUGAUGCACAUACCAAAAAGAAUAAGAUAAAACAAAUGAUUCUUAGAUGGAACUUGUCUAGCCGUAGAGCUUGGAGCCAUGUCUAAGAAACUUUGGUAGAUCCUGAGUGCGAAUCACAAACAAUAAGCUUUAACUGACAUAUCUGCUAACUCCACUCUCUCUGCACAAAUUUCUCAAAGGGUUAAGGAGACUAGGAUAGAGGUGCACAAAUCAUGGUUUAUGGAGUUUAACCGCCAGGCAAACAAUUAAAGGGUUAGGUUUCUCGUCAGGCCAAAGUGUAGAAGCAGUGUUUUGUGGAGUCUAACCGACAAGAAAAAUUGAAGGUGUGAGCUUUCUCAAUAGGCUAAAGUGUAAUUCUUUUAAUAUCUUGCAGUUCACUUGAACUGUACUCCGCAGUCUCAAGAAAAUUACCAAUGAAAAUACCUUUGUAGAUUGAGUGUUCUGAAGAAGUUUUCUAUGGACUAUGCAGAUCAUAAAUCCUUGGAAGAAGAAUUUGGGAUUGCAUUUCCACUUUUUUUGCAGCUUGUGCAGUGCUAUAAAAAAAAUAAAAAAAAACCUUAUACUUACCUCAUGUUCCUGCUUUCAUCCAAUGCACAAAAGAUACCACCUCUGAAAACUUCCAAGUACAGCCCUCUGACCUGUACUCUGUUGCUCAUGAUCCACCAACCUUAAGAUGUUGGCGGUUCUUGAAAUUCAUCAUUAAGAUAUAUGGAUGCCCUCGGAGUUUGAAAGCAUACAACCUUACCUCAUGGAGUAAAUUCGUACAGGCUGCAACUCAUAUAUGAUUUACUACCCCUUUUUAGACAGGUAUCCAUGAAGAAUUUUUCAGCUUGAUCAACAAUGUGAAAGAACAGUGUUUGUAUUUCUUGAAACUUGCAAACCAUUUAACUACUAAAAUGUAUGACAUUCUAGCCAACAUUGCUUAUUAGAUGUUCAGAAGCAAUGAAAUCUACCUUGAAAUCUUCGUCAUAAAAAUAAGUACUUCCCUUUGUCUUUAUCUGAUGCAUUUUCUUGAUUCUCCCUUCGCUUCUUUGAUAUCAAUUAUUUUGCUCAUUAUAUACAAUUUUGUCUUUAAUUGGCCAUCACAAAUAGUAACAUAUAAUUUUUUACUUGUAUAUAUGUGAAGCAUUUUUUAUAAUGUUAUUUUUUUACUUCUUUUGGAACAGAGCUUGUUAAUACUCAAAACAAUGUCCUGUCACUUGUAUUUUAUUGAGUUUCCAUUUGACAAGAACAAUGCUAGACUCAGUCUGAGUUUGACCAAAUUUUCUGUGUUGAAACUCAGGCUGAGUAACUACUCCCAACUCAUGAAGAACACCAGGGAGAUGAAACUGAGCUGGGCUUACCUUAAUUUCUGAUCUUUUUCUCUGCCCAAAAUUAUAUGGUAAUGCAGCUUUAAAGAGUGUAAGGAAUGGAGUAUCUAAGAAAUUUCAAGGUAACCUUACCUACUUGUUCAACUGAAUCAUCUAUUGGAUUUGGGGAUAUUCGAACUUUGGUUUUUGUAUCCCUUCCUACAUGUGUACCAUCAGCGUGGCUAAUUGCGGACAACAUUUAUUUCUUCGUCAUGUCUGUAUACCUGUAUAUAUGAACAUGAGUGCAUAUAUGAAAAAAUAAAAUAAAAUAAGUAGACUGUAUGAGUAUGUCAACAUUGUAUUUAAUUUACAUGGGGAAAAAGGGUACACUCAUCCUCUAGUCCAUUUUGGAAUCUAGAGAAGCACCCUGUAAGCUGUACGGAGGAAGAAAUCAUUUAACUACAACAACCUCCAACUAACCCUGCUACCUAAAUUCUAAACUCUUUCUUGAUUCAUUCUCAACCCAAUGACACAAACUAAAAUGUGUUGUUUCUAUCUUUCUUGGUAUUGCAGAUGAAGAACACUGAGAGGAGUACUGAAUGCCUUCAUUUGACAAGGAGCAGUCCUUCCACAGCUGUUUGGUUGGCACUGAUAUCUUUCUUCUGUGAGGACAUUGGU
rnacentral:lncRNA from 1 species